rnacentral:lncRNA from 1 species
AUGCUACUCAUACAGAUACUAUGGCCAAAGCAGAUGAGAGCAUUGGGCAGCCCCUUGCAGUACACCUUCAAUAUUCACCUCCUGUGUAUCUGCAUCAGUCCGUCUUCUCUUCACCUUCAACUGAAGGAAAGAAGUCUUUCCUUUUCAAAUGAUCCAGCCUGCUCCCCCUGGCACAAGACAACAGCACUACCUGCAUAGAUCAUACCCAAUCUUCUGGGUAAAAUGGUCAGUAACCCUAUUCUGAUCUCACUCUGGUCUGAAUUUUUUUGUGCUUCUGAGCCCAAACUUUGAGCGCAUUUGGUUGCUUUGAAUACCAGAGUUGCUCCAGCGAUAGCAGCUUUGUAACUAGCACUGAUGAACCAGCUCCAGCAGAGCUGUCCUCAGUUUGCAUUGGUUUUAGGAAGGGGUGUAGUAAUAUAAAUUCAGUGUGUGCCUGCAGGCACUAGUAUCUGAAACACAACCCUAUUUCAGUUGUGAUGCAUAAUUAAUACAAGGGUAAUUGCAUAAUACUGCAAGCCAGCAGGGAAUAAUGAAAAAAAAGAGGUCUUUGGUUUUGUACCAAAAAUACCAAAAUGGCAGCUAGAAGCAUCACUUGCUAUUUUGCAAAGGCCUCAGUAGAACAGUAAAAUUAGAAAAACUGUAAGAGAAAAACAAGCACCACAGAUAAAAGGAACUACUCUUUCUAGAUUAAGUGAAAUAGCCCAGAACAAAGCAAUUGCCAGAGACAAAACACACUAUAAUUAAAAAGGUUUAAAUGUGCUUUUGUAUGGGCCACCCAACUGUCCAUAAACCCAGCAGUUACAUACUGGUAAUAACUUCCAGGUGUAAAACACCUUCAUCCCAAAGUGCUUUGCAAAUGGACAUGAUGGGUAUUUUCUCAGGUAUUUACUCACUGAGUUCAUACACCCACUUCUGAAGGACAGCCCUGCAGGGAAUCCACUCUUCCUUUGACUCAUUUCCACCCCUUUGCUCUGUUUCACAGCUGGCCAGAGCAAAGUACCUCUUGGUCCUAUCAUGUUGCCUGUCCAGGCACCAUGCCUUGUACCACAGACCAUCCUUAAUCUUGGUGCAGUGGGAUAGCAGGGGGCUGGGAGUGGAGGAGAGGCUUUCUUUCAGCUGGAGCAUGGUUGCAAGUAGCAACCACACAGAGUGCAUCCAGUGCUAUGAGUUGACUUGAUAGCAUUUCAGCAUGUCAUAAGUCUUGUGUUCACCCUCAGUAGGUUGUUCAAAGCUAAAACCAUCUUCCAGAAGCAGCGUGAGGAGAGAGGAGCAGCAGCCAGUGCCAGCUCUGUUAAAUUAGGCAAUAGGAAAUGGGCUCUCUGCAGGGCUGGGGCUGCGGUUUGCUCCAUUAGGGCACAGCACAGUCACUCCUGCAAUUAGUACUUGGCUAACGGGCAAUUGACACCAAGUUCAGGCUCUGUCUGGCUUGAAAGCUGAGUGCUGUGUAGGAUAUGGUGCAGUGGGGAAAUGGAAGCAAGUUUCUGAAAACAGCUUUGCUUCUUAUUUUUAAAACUGGCCUUGUGCUGCCCAUUUGCUCACAAAUGAAAGAGUGGGAUGCACUGAUUUUGAGCGGGCACAGCCGGAUCAUUCAUUCGUUGGGUGGCAUUCCUGCUCCUGCCAUUUUUAACACAGGAGCUAAUUGCCAGAUCAAGAAGCUGCUUCAUGAACUUCCCAUCAUUUGCUGACUGCAGUCUCAGCA